ensembl:lncRNA
CCGGCCAGGAAGCGACGGAACGAGAUCGGACCCCACGCUUACCCGGCCAGGAAGCGACGGAACGAGAUCGGACCCCACGCUUACCCGGCCAGGAAGCGAUGGAACGACAUCGGACCCCACGCUUACCCGGCCAGGAAGCGAUGGAACGAGAUCGGACCCCAGGACUCCUGUAUGCGCUUAAUAAACAGAGUCUUCGCAGCAUAAAGCCCUAACUCCAGCCCCACACCCUGUGUCUGGAAGACGCACUGCCCAGAGCUGCUGGCUUCACGGCGGCAAGCCCAGAGACAUCCGUUACCAUCCACACACGCUGCUCGGGGACACUGAGCCCAGGAAACAGAGGAGGCGUCCGUCAGUCGUCUCCGUAUCCAUACAUUGUGAGAGCUCCGUCUGGCUCUGGUGUCAGCAAAUUGGCCUCAUGGGCACUUCAAGUUGCGUGGAGAAAGCUAGUGGCCACCGAGGUGCCUUUACCCCGGCCUUUAUGUUAUUGUGCCUCUGUAUACAUCACACACACUAAAACCCCAACAGACUUUAUUUUUUGUUUUUAAUCAUAAACAUUUUAAAACCUCAAAAAGACUAGUCUAUUAUAUUACUUAUACAACUGCCUUUUCUGACGUUUCUUUUACUCCUGGUUUUUCAUGUUUUCCUCCAGUAUCCUGUUAUCUUUUUUGUCUGAAAAGCUUCCUUUAGCGAGUGUUUCAGAGCAGGUCUCCUACCAACACGUCUUGUUUGUCCUUUAUCUGAGGUGAUCUUCCUUUCGCCUUUCUUCCUGAAAGACCCUGUCGCUGUGUGUGGCAUCGCUUCUACUGAGAUCUGCGCACAUUUGAACCUCUGAUCUACGACAAGGACUGCAUUCUGUGGCUGCUCUCCAGGCUUCUUUCGUGUAGUUCUCAGGAGUUUGAUCAUCACAUGUCUAGAACAUGAAUUUGGUGUGAGGUGCAGGCUGUCCUGUCUGAAGUUUCCUGAGGUUCCUGAACCUGUAGGUUUCCACGUUUUGCCAGGUUUGGUCAGCUUUUGCCAUUCUUUUUUCAAAUGUUUUUCUGUGCACUCUUUCUCGUCUCUCUGGUAUGCCUGUGAUACAGAUUGUGGUGACAUCCCCAAGUCCCCGACUUUGUUCUUGGUUUUCGGUGUCUUCUCUCUGUCGUUCAAACCAGAUAAUUUUGUAGGACUGUUUGCAAGUUCAGUGACUGCCUCUGUUAUCCUUGUUACACUCCUGAGCCCAUUCCGUGAGUAUUUUGUUUCCUUUUCUGAAGUUUUCAGUUCUGACUUUCAUUUACUUUUCCUUGCUGCUUCUCUUUCUUUGCUGAUAAUUUCCAUCUUUCCACUCAAGAAGCAUUAUAUAGCGGCCACUUUGACGUCUUAGUCUGAACAUUAAGAUCACUAACUAGUGGAUCUACACUUUAGACGUUUUCUAUGUUAAAGUUUCCAUAUCUUUUUUAUAAAGGUAAACUUAAUUAACAAGAGCACUCCACCUCUGAAUCAUCUUACUAAGUGGGUUUUUACCUCAAACAACUUUGGCUGAAUAAAGGUCGAUGGACAAGGACACCUACACUGUGACUGCUAUUACAUAAUUGAACACAUGCUUAGCGUAUAAAUAAUUUCUAAAACCACAGAGGCCAAACCACAGUGGAAAAUUCAGCUACUCUGGAGAGAAAUAGCAAAAUUAUCUUCUGCAAAGUUUCCUAUUCAGUAACCUCAGAACUGGAGCAGGGAAAAUGUUCUGGAAGCCAGCAGCUUAGGAGACUAACGUGUCCACCCCACAGCAGUCGAGGACAUUUCUUCCUGGGAAGCUUCCGUGGCCAGUUGAUCCAGAAACGUCAGUCACCAAUAGAAAAGAGAACUCUAAGUGGUGGUCACAGCCGACACAUGAACCCCAGCUGACCAUCCAUCCGCUCCCGAGGCCAGAGGCCAGCGGCACAGUGAGCACAGCUCUUGCACCGCAGGGAGCACUGGCCCUACGCGGUCACCGCCCCCCGACGUCCAGCCCUCCCUGCCCUCUCCCUCUCCUCUUCACACCUUCUCCUGACCCGCCUCUCUUUCCACUUUCUCCCUCGUCUCCCCCCCCGCUCCCCUGCUCCCCGCUUACUUGACCAUAAUGAAUCAACUGGAUAUGUAUUUCUCUGUUCUUAGAAAGUUGGCCAUUUUACAGACUUUUAAAUUUUGCAAAAUAAUGUUUGUAAAUAAGCAGAAACAAUGUUUGCUUAAACACUCUAUUUCCAAG